rnacentral:rRNA from 1 species
UACGUAGGGUGCGAGCGUUAAUCGGAAUUACUGGGCGUAAAGCGUGCGCAGGCGGUUUUGUAAGCCAGAUGUGAAAGCCCCGGGCUUAACCUGGGAAUGGCAUUUGGGACUGCAAGGCUUGAGUGCGGCAGAGGAGACUGGAAUUCCCGGUGUAGCAGUGAAAUGCGUAGAUAUCGGAAGGAACAUCAGUGGCGAAAGCGACUUCCAUGGACCAGUACCGACGUUCGAGGCCACGAAAGCGUGGGGAGCAAACAGGA